rnacentral:rRNA from 1 species
AGUGAACGCUGGCGGUAGGCCUAACACAUGCAAGUCGAACGGCAGCACAGUAAGAGCUUGCUCUUACGGGUGGCGAGUGGCGGACGGGUGAGGAAUACAUCGGAAUCUACUUUUUCGUGGGGGAUAACGUAGGGAAACUUACGCUAAUACCGCAUACGACCUACGGGUGAAAGCAGGGGAUCUUCGGACCUUGCGCGAUUGAAUGAGCCGAUGUCGGAUUAGCUAGUUGGCGGGGUAAAGGCCCACCAAGGCGACGAUCCGUAGCUGGUCUGAGAGGAUGAUCGGCCACACUGGAACUGAGACACGGUCCAGACUCCUACGGGAGGGAGCAGUGGGGAAUAUUGGACAAUGGGCGGAAGCCUGAUCCAGCCAUACCGCGUGGGUGAAGGAGGCCUUCGGGUUGUAAAGCCCUUUUGUUGGGAAAGAAAAGCAGCAGGUUAAUACCCCGCUGUUCUGACGGUACCCAAAGAAUAAGCACCGGCUAACUUCGUG